GACGGGGAGUAACGCGUGAGAAUCUGGCUUCAGGUCGGGGAUAACUACUGGAAACGGUGGCUAAUACCGGAUGUGCCGAGAGGUGAAAGGCUUGCUGCCUGAAGAUGAGCUCGCGUCUGAUUAGCUAGUUGGUGUGGUAAGAGCGCACCAAGGCACGAUCAGUAGCUGGUCUGAGAGGAUGAUCAGCCACACUGGGACUGAGACACGGCCCAGACUCCUACGGGAGGCAGCAGUGGGGAAUUUUCCGCAAUGGGCGAAAGCCUGACGGAGCAAUACCGCGUGAGGGAGGAAGGCUCUUGGGUUGUAAACCUCUUUUCUCAAGGAAUAAGUUCUGAAGGUACUUGAGGAAUAAGCAUCGGCUAACUCCGUGCCAGCAGCCGCGGUAAUACGGAGGAUGCAAGCGUUAUCCGGAAUGAUUGGGCGUAAAGCGUCCGCAGGUGGCUAUGUAAGUCUGCUGUUAAAGAGUCUAGCUUAACUAGAUAAGAGCAGUGGAAACUACAAAGCUAGAGUGCGUUCGGGGUAGAGGGAAUUCUGGUGUAGCGGUGAAACCCCAGAGAUCAGGAAGAAC
rnacentral:rRNA from 1 species